UGACCCUGACAUGGAGUAGGGAUGACCGGGGCUGAGGCCUCCUGCAGGCCGGGCUGCAGAGGCAGCUGCUGCGGGGUCAGCCAGUGUGUUAGCCCCAGUGUUGUGCCGGUGGUGAUGGGCACAUGGCUAAUCUGCAUGAGUGAAGUUGGAAGUGGAGCUGCUGGACAAGCUGGCUGAACGACGGAGGUGUUUGGUGGGAUGAUGAGGCUGAUGAUGACGAUGAUGAAGAUGAAGGAGGAGGAGGCUGGGGAGGUCCAGCACCACCAGUGGCAGCACCGGCUCCACCACA